GUGGGGAAUAUUGGACAAUGGGCGCAAGCCUGAUCCAGCCAUGCCGCGUGAGUGAUGAAGGCCUUAGGGUUGUAAAGCUCUUUCAGUAGGGAAGAUAAUGACGGUACCUACAGAAGAAGCCCCGGCUAACUUCGUGCCAGCAGCCGCGGUAAUACGAAGGGGGCUAGCGUUGUUCGGAUUUACUGGGCGUAAAGCGCACGCAGGCGGAAUGUUAAGUCAUAGGUGAAAUCCUGGAGCUCAACUCCAGAACUGCCUUUGAUACUGGCAAUCUCGAGUCCGGAAGAGGUGAGUGGAACUCCUAGUGUAGAGGUGGAAUUCGUAGAUAUUAGGAAGAACACCAGUGGCGAAGGCGGCUCACUGGUCCGGUACUGACGCUGAGGUGCGAAAGCGUGGGGAGCAAACAGGAUUAGAUACCCGAGUAGUCC
rnacentral:rRNA from 1 species